rnacentral:rRNA from 1 species
AGCAGCCGCGGUAAUUCCAGCUCCAAUAGCGUAUAUUAAAGUUGUUGCAGUUAAAAAGCUCGUAGUUGAAUUUCGGGGUUAGUAGGCUGGUCAUGCCGCCGGUAUGUACUGGUCUUUCUGAUUCCUCCUUCCUGAUGAACUGUAAUGCCAUUAAUUUGGUGUUGCAGGGAAUCUGGACUGUUACUUUGAAAAAAUUAGAGUGUUUAAAGCAGGCUAACGCUUGAAUACAUUAGCAUGGAAUAAUGAAAUAGGACGUUCGAUCCUAUUUUGUUGGUUUCUAGGAUUGACGUAAUGAUUAAUAGGGAUAGUUGGGGGCAUUAGUAUUCAAUUGUCAGAGGUGAAAUUCUUGGAUUUAUUGAAGACUAACUACUGCGAAAGCAUUUGCCAAGGAUGUUUUCAUUAAUCAAGAACGAAAGUUAGGGGAUCGAAGACAAUCAGAUACCGUCGUAGUCUUAACCAUAAACUAUGCCGACUAGGGAUCGGAUGAUGUUAAUUUUUUAAUGACUCA